rfam:Oryza glumipatula chromosome 8, whole genome shotgun sequence.
GCGCCUCUCUCUCCGCCCACUCGGCCGCCACGUGGCAGCCGAGUGAGGGCCUCGUGGCAACGC